rnacentral:rRNA from 1 species
GUGGCCUCUGCUUGCUUACUACUGCCAAUGGAUGAGUCCGCGUCUCAUUAGCUAGACGGUAGGGUAACGGCCUACCGUGGCAACGAUGAGUAGCAGGCCUGAGAGGGUGGCCUGCCACACUGGGACUGGAACACGGCCCAGACUCCUACGGGAGGCAGCAGUGGGGAAUAUUGCGCAAUGGGGGAAACCAUGACGCAGCGACGCCGCGUGGAGGAUGAAGGUUUUCGGAUCGUAAACUCCUGUCAUUAGGGAAGAACCCUGCAAAGAGUAAUACGCUAUGCAGCUGACGGUACCUUCAGAGGAAGCACCGGCUAAUUCCGUGCCAGCAGCCGCGGUAAUACGGAAGGUGCACGCGUUAAUCGGAAUCACUGGGGCGUAUAGCGCUCGUAUGUGGCUUUGUAAGUCAGGUGUGAAAGCCCCGCUCACCGUGGAGUGCACUGAUACUGCAUGCUGAGUUCAGGAGAGAGUAGUGAUCCACGUGUAGGAGUGAAAUCCGUAGAGAUCUGGAGGAACACCAGUGGCGAAGACGACUAUCUGGACCGAUACUGACACUGAGCAGCGAAAGCGUGGGGAGCAAACAGGAUUAGAUACCCUGGUAGUCCACGCUGUAAACGAUAGAUACUAGGUGUCGAGGGCUUGACCUUCGGUGCCGUAGCUAACGCGCUAUGUAUCCCGCCUGGGGAGUACGCUCGCAAGACUGAAACUCUAAGAAAUAGACGGGGGCCCGCACAAGCGGUGGAGUAUGUGGUUUAAUUUGAUGCAACGCGAAGAGCCUUACCUAGGCUUGACAUCUCUGGAACCUUCCCGAAAAGGAAGGCUGCUCUUCGGAGAACCAGGAGACACGUGCUGCAUGGCUGUCGUCAGCUCGUGCCUUGAGGUGUUGGGUUAAGUCUCGCAACGAGCGCAACCCCUAUUUUUAGUUGCCAUCAGGUGAUGCUGGGCACUCUAGGGAGACUGCCCGGGUUAACCGGGAGGAAGGUGGGGACGACGUCAAGUCAUCAUGGCCCUUACGCCUAGGGCUACACACGUACUACAAUGGCGCAUACAAAGGGCAGCGAUACCGUGAGGUGGAGCCAAUCCCAAAAAGUGCGUCUCAGUCCGGAUAGGAGUCUGCAACUCGACUCCAUGAAGUCGGAAUAGAUAGUAAUCCUGGAUCAGCAUGCCAGGGUGAAUAG